rnacentral:sRNA from 1 species
GCUGGGCAUGGUGGUCGUGCCUGUAAUCCUAGCUACUGGGGGGACUGAGGCAGGAGGAUCACAAGUUCCAGUGCAGCCUGGGCACCUUAGUGAGACCCUGUCUCAA